rnacentral:rRNA from 1 species
UACGUAGGAGGCGAGCGUUGUCCGGAGUUACUGGGCGUAAAGCGCGUGUAGGCGGUCAGGUAGGUCCGUUGUGAAAACUCGAGGCUCAACCUCGAGACGCCGAUGGAAACCAUCUGACUAGAGUCCGGAAGAGGAGAGUGGAAUUCCUGGUGUAGCGGUGAAAUGCGCAGAUAUCAGGAAGAACACCCGUGGCUAAGGCGGCUCUCUAGUACGGUACUGACGCUGAGACGCGAAAGCGUGGGGAGCGAACAGG